GGGUGUUAAGGUCAUUGUGGAAGCUGUGGUCAUUGUGGGUGUUAAGGUCGUUGUGAAAGCUGUGGUCAUUGUGGGUGUUAAGGUUGUUGUGGAAGUUGUGGUCGAUGUGGAAGCUAUGGUUGUUGUGGGUGUUGAGGUCGCUGUGGGUGUUGAGGUCACUGUGGAAGCUGUGUUCGUUGUGGAAGCUGUGGUCGUUGUGGAAGCUGUGGUCGUUGUGG